rnacentral:lncRNA from 1 species
GUUGAUCCACUAGUAAUAGUGUUAGCUGACGAGAGAAAUUGCUCUGGAAAAAUUCGAUCACCAUUGACGAAGCUUUCUAAACUGUUUCCUUUGAUUGAUGUUAAGAUCUGAGUACGCCAAACAAUGAAAUUAUUCUGAUCUAGUUUAACUAGAGUUGCAAAGCUAUAGGAUCCUGAAAUUUGAUUUGAGCUCAUCAUGUUU